UACGUAGGGGGCAAGCGUUGUCCGGAAUCAUUGGGCGUAAAGAGCGUGUAGGUGGUUCGGUAAGUCGGAUGUGAAAUCUCCAGGCUCAACCUGGAGGGGUCAUUCGAUACUGCCGUGACUAGAGUUCGGUAGGGGAGUGUGGAAUUCCUGGUGGAGCGGUGAAAUGCGCAGAUAUCAGGAGGAACACCCGUAGCGAAGGCGGCACUCUGGGCCGAUACUGACACUGAGGAGCGAAAGCGUGGGGAGCGAACAGG
rnacentral:rRNA from 1 species